rnacentral:rRNA from 1 species
AAAAGCAGGGGAUCGCAAGACCUUGCGCUUUUGGAGCGGCCGAUGUCUGAUUAGCUAGUUGGUGAGGUAAAGGCUUACCAAGCCUUCGAUCUGUAGCUGGUCUGAGAGGACGACCAGCCACACUGGGACUGAGACACGGCCCAGACUCCUACGGGAGGCAGCAGUGGGGAAUUUUGGACAAUGGGGGAAACCCUGAUCCAGCCAUGCCGCGUGAGUGAAGAAGGCCUUCGGGUUGUAAAGCUCUUUCAGCCGGAACGAAAAGGUCACGGCUAAUACCCANGACUAAUGACGGUACCGGAAGAAGAAG